UACGUAGGGGGCAAGCGUUGUCCGGAAUCAUUGGGCGUAAAGCGCGCGUAGGCGGCCCGGUAAGUCCGCUGUGAAAGUCGGGGGCUCAACCCUCGGAUGCCGGUGGAUACUGUCGGGCUUGAGUGCGGAAGAGGCGAGUGGAAUUCCUGGUGUAGCGGUGAAAUGCGUAGAUAUCGAGAGGAACACCUGCGGCGAAGGCGGGUAGCUGGGCCGAACACUGACGUGAGGCGCGAAAGCCAGGGGAGCGAACGGG
rnacentral:rRNA from 1 species